UGUACUCGUGAUUCUGAUUAGUAUUUUCAGUUGACCGACGAUACAUGUGAAGAAAGAACGUGAACGUGAAACAUUGUAUUCUCGUGAGGAUGCCACGUCGAUGUUUCGCAUCAGAAGGAAAGAAAAAAGCCUCUUCCACAGGUUCAAGAAGAGCCAGUUCCUUUGACUGUACAUAAUAUCGAGCCGUGACACUUGGUGGUGAAGAAAUUUUCAGCCGUUAAAAUUUCACCGAUAUUCAAUUAACGCUCAAACGUAUCGCCUUUAUAACCGACUUCUUAAUACGCUUUCUCUCUUUAGACUUCCAUUCAUUUAUUGUAUUAUAUAAUACAAUGCUUGACUCAAAUGCCAAUAAAUAUUCCAUUACCGAUUCCGUUUUAACAUACCCAUGGCGAAAAUUA